AUUGAACGCUGGCGGCAUGCUUUACACAUGCAAGUCGAACGGCAGCGCGGGCUUCGGCCUGGCGGCGAGUGGCGAACGGGUGAGUAAUACAUCGGAACGUGCCCAGUAGUGGGGGAUAGCUCGGCGAAAGCCGGAUUAAUACCGCAUACGACCUGAGGGUGAAAGCGGGGGAUCUUCGGACCUCGCGCUAUUGGAGCGGCCGAUGGCAGAUUAGCUAGUUGGUGUGGUAAAGGCCUACCAAGGCGACGAUCUGUAGCUGGUCUGAGAGGACGACCAGCCACACUGGGACUGAGACACGGCCCAGACUCCUACGGGAGGCAGCAGUGGGGAAUUUUGGACAAUGGGCGAAAGCCUGAUCCAGCAAUGCCGCGUAUGUGAUGAAGGCCUUCGGGUUGUAAAGCACUUUUGGCGGGAACGAAAAGGACUGUGCCAAUACCACGGUUCGAUGACGGUACCCGCAGAAUAAGCACCGGCUAACUACGUG
rnacentral:rRNA from 1 species